rnacentral:misc_RNA from 1 species
UGCCUAGGAAUUUGAAAAAUUCAUUCCU